AGUGAACGCUGGCGGCAGGCCUAACACAUGCAAGUCGAGCGGGAACUUAGGUGUCAGUGGCUGACGGGGGAGGAAAGCGUCGGAAGGUUCACGUUUAUUUGGGAUUCCGCUUGGAAGCGGGCGCUAAUACAGGAUAAGAUCUCUUAGGGCAGCACAUGAUGUAGAGGGUAAAGCCGGCGUCCGACUGGCCUUUUGCGGGCGUAUGGGCCGACCUCGGAUUAGUUAGUUGGCGGGUUAGAGAGCUACCAAGGCGACGAUCAGUAGCUGGGCUGAGAGGACGAGCAGCAACACUGGGAGUGAGACACGGCCGGGACUCCUAGGGGAGGCAGCAGUGGGGAAUAUUGGACAAAGGGCGCGGGCCUGAUCCAGCCAUGCCGCGUAAGUGAUGAAGGCCUGAAGAUUGUAAAGGUCUUUUGUCCGGGACGAUUAUGACGGUACCGGAAGGAUAAGCCACGGCUAACUUCGUG
rnacentral:rRNA from 1 species